ACCUAGUUGGCUUGGUGAGUAGGGCGUCUGCCUUGUAAGCGCUAGGCCGCGGGUUCAAUUCCUGUCCUGGGUG
rfam:Asian citrus Psyllid, Diaphorina citri - Florida Strain, whole genome shotgun sequence.